rnacentral:rRNA from 2 species
UAACGAUAGAAGUCAACCCGGCUCUCCCGCAAGGGUCUGCCGGGCACACCUUCCACCCUUUGUUUACCACACCUUUGUUGCUUUGGCAAGCCCGUCCUCGGACCGCCGGCUCCGGCCGGCCCGCGCUUGCCAGAGGACCUAAACUCUGUUUGUCUAUAUUGUCUGAGUACUAUAUAAUAGUUAAAACUUUCAACAACGGAUCUCUUGGUUCUGGCAUCGAUGAAGAACGCAGCGAAAUGCGAUAAGUAAUGUGAAUUGCAGAAUUCAGUGAAUCAUCGAAUCUUUGAACGCACAUUGCGCCCCUUGGUAUUCCGGGGGGCAUGCCUGUCCGAGCGUCAUUACAACCCUCAAGCUCUGCUUGGUAUUGGGCCCCGCCGACCCGGCGGGCCCUAAAGUCAGUGGCGGUGCCGUCUAGCUCCGAGCGUAGUAAUUCUUCUCGCUCCGGAGGCCUAGGCGCGUGCCCGCCAGCAACCCCCAUUCUUUUAAGGUUGACCUCGGA